GGCCACAUGCAGGGGUGCUGGAGGAAUCCGGCUGUGAUUGAUCGUAGUCCCGAUCAGAUCCCUUAGAACCUGAUCUGGGUAAUGCCAGCGUAGGAAGCAGUUGCGAAACUUCG
rnacentral:ncRNA from 2 species